CCUACGGGAGGCAGCAGUGGGGAAUAUUGGACAAUGGGGGCAAGCCUGACGCAGCGACGCCGCGUGAGGGAAGAAGGCUUUCGGUUUGUAAACUUCUUUUCUCAGGGACGAAAUACGUGCCUGUCGCUCAGGAAUCAGCCCCGGCUAACUACGUGCCAGCUGCCGCGGUAAUACGUAGGGGGCAAGAGUUAUCCGGAUGUAUUGGGUGGAAAGGGCGUGUAGGCGGGAAAGCAAGUCAGCAGUGAAAUCUCAUGGCUCAACCAUGGGCCUGCAUUGGAAACUGUUCAUCUUGAGUGCAGGAGAGGCAAGCGGAAUUCCGGGUGUAGCGGUGAAAUGCGUAGAUAUACGGAGGAACACCAGUGGCGAAGGCGGAUUGCUGGACAGUAACUGACGUUGAGGCGCGAAAGCGUGGGGAGCAAACAGGAUUAGAUACCCGAGUAGUC
rnacentral:rRNA from 1 species